CACCUUCUUCUGUCCAGGUAUUCUGCUUGUUUUUACCGCACAAAGGUGACACUCCUUUCAUGACAGCAGAGAGAUAUUCCUGAUUUCAAGUUACCUGCCUGCCCUGCAGAUAGUACCACUCUUGAACUAUGGAUCAUGUGACCCUAACUAGUCAGUCAGGGUCCACACACCAAGUUACCAGCAACACUGCCUUCCCAAACUUUCUUAUUCUCAGAAGAUAUACAUUUGUGUACUAAUGGAGUGCUUUACCAAGGACCUGACAACACGAGGAGAUAGGAGAUAAGUGGGGGGACAUGGCCCUUAUCUAAGCCUGGCACAUAACCCUGCUGUUGUCCCUUUGCCUGAGAUCCCUUCCACAAAAAAGGGUGCAGCAGUUGCCAAUUUGUCCUGCCGUCCCAAUGAGUGUCAGGAAAACCAUUUUUCCUUCCUAGAGUUAUUAGAUAUUGUGCAGAGCCAUACCUUGUUUAACUAUAAAUCAGUCAAUGCAGAGGAGAAGUGACCAGAAUGUGACAAAAAUUAUGAAUAGAUAAUCCUCAGGGGGAGUGAUACUGACUUGUGCCUCAACAAGUCCAUGAGUAGAGCCAAAGCCAGAAGGGGGAGGUGCCUGGGAACAUUGUCUGCUUAGGGUGGGGAGGGCCUGAUCAGAACCAGAUCACGCCAUGUAAUCAUAACAGAGUUCUGCCAGGUUAUGGAUGUCAGCUGGACAGUAGGAAGAGAGCACAUCUGAUGCUGAGAAAGGACAGCUUAUUUUGCUUUUCUGCUCUCAUUCCUCAUCAUGGGAAUGAUUUGUGUUUGCCAGAAGGAACCAGCAAAGGGAUUUCUUUCUAAGCUCUUCAUUCAAGAUGUUUCCAGAAGAGGAAGAAAGCUUUUAAAGUGUCUACUCCCCCAGCACAACAUUUAUUAUGACUAAUAUGCAUCUCAUGCUCUGAAUGAUAAAGAGCACAGUGAUUUGCUCUUUUCUUCUAAAAAUAUUUGCCAUAUUUUAUUUCUAGUCACCUGUCUCUUUUGGCAAUACUCAAACUAGUAACAGUGGUAACCAACUAACCCCACUCCACUAGAUAUUUUUCUAGUGACAAUAAAAAUUAUGCAGAUUUCUAAUUUAAUAUAUAU
rnacentral:lncRNA from 1 species